rnacentral:rRNA from 1 species
AAGUUGCAGGGUAUAGACCCGAAACCCGGUGAUCUAGCCAUGGGCAGGUUGAAGGUUGGGUAACACUAACUGGAGGACCGAACCGACUAAUGUUGAAAAAUUAGCGGAUGACUUGUGGCUGGGGGUGAAAGGCCAAUCAAACCGGGAGAUAGCUGGUUCUCCCCGAAAGCUAUUUAGGUAGCGCCUCGUGAACUCAUCUUCGGGGGUAGAGCACUGUUUCGGCUAGGGGGUCAUCCCGACUUACCAAACCGAUGCAAACUACGAAUACCGAAGAAUGUUAUCACGGGAGACACACGGCGGGUGCUAACGUCCGUCGUGAAGAGGGAAACAACUCAGACCGCCAGCUAAGGUCCCAAAGUCAUGGUUAAGUGGGAAACGAUGUGGGAAGGCACAGACAGCCAGGAUGUUGGCUUAGAAGCAGCCAUCAUUUAAAGAAAGCGUAAUAGCUCACUGGUCGAGUCGGCCUGCG